UACGUAGGGGGCUAGCGUUGUCCGGAAUCAUUGGGCGUAAAGCGCGUGUAGGCGGCCCGGUAAGUCCGCUGUGAAAGUCGGGGGCUCAACCCUCGAAAGCCGGUGGAUACUGUCGGGCUCGAGUGCGGAAGAGGCGAGUGGAAUUCCUGGUGUAGCGGUGAAAUGCGCAGAUAUCAGGAGGAACACCGAUUGCGAAGGCAGCUCGCUGGGACGUUACUGACGCUGAGACGCGAAAGCUAGGGUAGCAAACAGG
rnacentral:rRNA from 1 species